GUUACACACGUUUGUCUCCUCCUCAAAUGAUAAUUUAGUAAGUAUUUAUGCAUUCUUUCCACUUAGAGAUCUUGGCGUGUUUGCAUGUGGUUGUACCACUUACUAGCUCAUUUCAUUUGAAUUAGCUGUCCAAUAAUGUGUCGACCGGCCUCUGUAGUUGACCAAUAAACAAAACCUAUUAAAGAACUUUCCAACCAGCAAAGCACAACCUCAAAGACUUUUGCAGGAGGCCCCCCCAUCGUAUAGUAAACACCAAAACCAGCAGUUUUAAAGACCAGACCACCCGCACCUGAGCUCUGUUCACCUGUAUCGCGUGUUUACAGGGUUAGCAUCGUGCGUUGUUGGUCGUAUAUUCUACUUUUACUUGUCUGUUAAUUGCAUAAAUGUGAAAAUAGAAGUUUGUGCAGCUUUACGUUCAGUCAUGGUGUGUGUGUGUGUGUGUGAGAAUGUGUUGGCACAGGGCAGGGGCCACCAAACCAGCCACAGAGGGACUGAGUUAGGAGAGGAAUGCAGCGGAACAUCGUUAAAGCCUCUAACAAAAGAACAAAGCACAGGGCUGGACUUCCUGCUCUGGGAGCUGGGACUCUUUUGAAGAGGCCUUCUGAGCGCACUCCCGGGAGAGAUGUCAGGAUCGGCCUUGGCUAACAAACACCUCAAAAGGGAGCCAGAUCACCAGGCCAAACAUUUCCUCAAUUGCAGAACACUAGCUCGUUGGGGCACCAACUCCCAAAAGCUCACUGUGGUGGGUUUGGGCCGCACAGAGGAAUGAAGCUGUUCAACAUGCGAGGAAGAGAGCCGCGAUAACAUAUGUGCGCGCAUACAAUCCAAACCCUGUAACGUGGACAUAAAGCAUGGAAAAAAUUGUGAGACAGGUCUGCGUGGAGCCAACCCUCCACCCACACGUUCACAUCCAGGUAAAAUAAAAUCCCCCGGGGUACACACACAUAAAAAGGAAGAAACAUCCUUUUAAUGGAUUUGCAGGACAGACGCGCACACAUACCAGAGGUGAUGUCAGCAGAGGAGUUGUUGUGAUUUGUGUUUACUUUUUUUUUUGUUUUUGUUUUUGUUUUCUGUCUGAACAGCAGCAUCCUGUUUGCCUCCCUGGGGAUUUAUCUACUGUAUGUGCAUAUACGGCACUGGAUGUGAGUGUGCAUGUGUAUGCAUGAACAAAGGAUGCAGAUAAAGUGCAUGAGCUGUUAUGUUUUCGUUAUUAUCCUGUAUAUUGUCUUAUUACACAUGCGCAACCCUAACUCUAAACCCAAAUAAUAGGCUUGAGGUGAUUUUUGUGUUGUCAACAAUUUAAAAGUAUGAUCGUGACAUUUGAAAUAAAAUACUGUUGCUGUCAUAUUA